AAUCAUGAGAAGACAGGAUCCCAAGAGCUGUUGCGAAGACCCUGUCCCAGAUGUUGUGCUCCGCACCUCAUGGUUGGGUGGCUUCCAGCAGCUUCCUGAACCUGAGCCUGCUCUGCCAUCUGUACAAUGGGCACAACAUCAGCCUCACAUGGCUGAGAUGAGGCCACGGGACACAAAGAUGGGGUCUUACCAUGUCAUCCAGGCUGGUCUCAAACUCGUGGACUCAAGCGAUCCUCUUGCCUCUGCCUCUCAAGUAGCUGGGAUUACAGGUGUGAGCCAUUGCACCCGCCCAUUGCCUGUCAUUUGCAUGCAGAUGCUAUUCUAACAUGAAACCUUUUACUCAAAUAUUUAUCUACAAUGGAGUCUCUCCGGAGUCAAGCCAUGUCUCCACCGUGGUGAGGCCAUCAAUUCAUUUGAAGUGGUUUCCCAGAGCAAAAGCUGCACCUAUGUGCAAGUGAUGCCCACACUGAGUGUGUAUGGACAGACUUCAGGUGUCUUCUAUCAGGGCUUGAGGAUCAGCCAGAUUUCAUGAGUUAAAUGGAGAUCUGAAUCAUACCAAGCUGAGAUUGGGGUACAAACUCUCCUCUACUGAAAAGUAGUAAGGGAUUCCAACUUCGUGAGAGGGAGAGUGGGGCAGAACCAGACCAGACAAGGAGUGGUCACCUGGAAAAAGCCUGCCAUCAAAGGCCUUGGCUGGAGUUGCAAUCUCAGCUCACCACAACCUCUGCCUCCUGGAUUCAAGAAAUUCUCCUGCCUCAGCCUCCCAAGUAGCUGGGACUACAGGGGUGCGUCACCACACCCAGCUGGAGUUUCACUGUUGUCGCCCAUGCUGGAGUGCAAUGGUGUGUCCUGGCUCACUGCAAUCUCUGCCUCUCAGGUUCAAGUGAUUCUCCUAGACAUGAACUUGCGAAUUCAACAUGUGAAGACCAGCUUCAGGUGAUACAACAUUUGUCUGACAUUAUGCACUGAACAGUUUAUUAUUGAAGUCUACACUAGCCAACUGAACAAGCAUUCAUCAAAUGUCUACGAUACCCAGGACAUAAGAAAGUUCCUUUUAGAGCAUGGAGCCAUGCAUAUCAUCUCUUAAUUGUUAGAUGUGUUUUGAAAGAAAUAGAAAUAUAAUUGAUUUUCUGGUUUUGGCUAUAGAGUGGAGUGCAGACAAAAAAGAAUGGAAUCACACUGUUUAGAUUUACUAAAAUGGAAGGAUUGCCAGCAAGAUCAUAUCCCUAGUCUCCCCAUAGCAAAUGGCACCUGCUAGCUGUUUGCUGUUCUCUUUUUUUUUUUUUUUUUUUUUUUUUUGAGGUGGAGUUUUCCUCUGUUGCCCAUACUGGAGUGCAGUGGUGUGAUCUCAGCUCAUGCAAGCUCUACCUCCUGGGUUCCAGCAAUUCUGUCUGCCUCAGCCUCCCAAGUAGCUGGGAUUACAGGCACCUGCCACCAUGCCAGCCUAAUUUUUUAUUUGCAGUAGAGUUUCGGUUUCACCAUGUUGGCCAGGCUGGUCUGGAAUUCCUGACCUCAGGUGAUCUGCCCACCUCAGCCUCCCAAAGUACUGGCAUUACAGGCAUGAGACAACCUGUCCUGCCUGCUAGUGGUUCUUGAGCACACUGAGUUCUGCUUUUUCCUAGCUUUAAUGAAUGUCUGGUUCUUCCUUUUUUUUUGUGCAGUGUAUGUCAGCAUUGUUUCAGUAAUAAAUACAUUCUGGAUCUUAGAAAUAAUAUUAGUUACAGGUGCCAGAUGCGGUGGCUCAUGCUUGUAAUCCCAGCACUUUGGGACGAUGAGGCGGGUGGAGCACGAGGUCAGGAGAUCGAGACCAUCCUGGCUAACACGGUGAAACACUGUCUCUACUAAAAAUACAAAAAAUUAGCCGGGCGUGGUGGCGGGUGCCUGUAGUCCCAGCUACUCAGGAGGCUGAGGCCGGAGAAUGGCAUGAACCUGGGAGGCGGAGCUUGCAGUGAGCCGAGAUCAUGCCACUGCACUCCAGUGUGUGCUACAGAGCGAGACUCCAUCUCAAAAAAAAAAUAGUCACAGGAAAGAAAAAUACUGCCUAUUUUAUAAUGAUAUUUAAUAACCCAAGUUAUUAAAUUCAUUAGAUUGAGAAAACUUGUAUUCCUGUGAUUUUGAUGGGGAAGGAAGUAUGGUAUGCCAGAAUCACUGAAUUGUGGAAAAUGAUGGAUCAGUUUUUUUGCAAAAAAAUUUGAUAAGUCUGUUUUUUCCCCUUCAACUAAAUUAUAUUACUGAGUAGUGUUUUUUAUAAUGUUGUUUUAUUUAGGAAAGUAAAUACAAUGAGUGGGACUCAGCUUCAGUUUUCUCUUACUGUUCUGUUUUUGAGACAGAGUUUCGCUCAUGUUAUGCAGGCUGGAGUGCAGUGGUGCGGUCUCAGAUCACUGAAACCUCCACCUCCCAGGUUCAAGCGAUUGUCCUGCUUCAGCCUCCCAAGUCCUUGGGAUUACUGGCACCUGCCACUAUGUCCAGCUAAUUUUUGUAUUUUUAGUAGAGAUGGGGUUUCACCAUGUUGGUCAGGCUGGUCUCGAACUCCUGACCUCAGGUGAUCCACCCACCUCAGCUUCCCAACAUGCUUGGAUUGUAGGCAUGAACCACAAUACCCAACCUCUCAUACUGUGUUGCUGUUUUUUUUUUUUUUUUGAGAUGGAGUCCAGGCUGGAGUGCAGUGGUGUGAUCUUGGCUCACUGCAACCUCUGCCUCCUGGGUUCAAGCGAUUCUCCUUCCUCAGCCUCCUGAAUAGCUGGGAUCACAGGCAUGUACCACCACACCCAACUAAUUUUUUUUGUAUUUCUUGUAGAGACGGGGUUUCACCUUGUUGGCCGGGCUAGUCUUAAACUCCUGACCUCAGGUGAUCCACCCACCUUGGCCUCCCAGAGUGCUGAGAUUAUAGGUGAGAGCCACUGCACACGGCCAGGAGUGGAUUAAUUUUAUGGUUCACCUUUUAGACCAUACAGAACAACUUUCUGACAUUGCCAUGGCAUUUGUAAACUGCCAUGGAGUUGACGAGAGGUCACUCUCGUCAUUAUCUUGGUUUUGGCUGGCUUUUUUACUGCAGCCCAUUUUAUCAGCAAGGUCUUUAUGACCUGUAUAUUGUGCUGACCUCCCUCACCCUGUGACUUAGCCUUAACCAUCUGGGAAUGCAUCUCAGUAAGUCUCAGCCUCAUUUUACCCAGCUCCUACUUAAGAUCGAGUUGCUCUCUUUCAAAUGCUUCUGACAGUAUUGCUGCUUUCUUUAAGGUUCCUGAAAGAGAGAGAGGAAAUCUUAGAUUUUUCAUGGCUGUGAACCACUGCAAGUAUUGAGGAAAUGUUUACUACUUUCAGCCUCAUAAUCCUGCAGUCAUUUGGCACCUGUGAGUCAGGUGCAGGGGAACUGCCCCAUACAGUCUGGAGCAUUCAAUCUGGUGGGGAAAUGUGUAGUAAGUAGGAGAUAUUUACAGUGUAAGGUGUUAAGGUCUGGGGUAGAAUUAAGUAGAAUAAGGGGAUGAGGAGGCAGAGGGUGUGAUUGGGGCAGCCUUGAUGAUAUGUGAUGAGCACAUUCUGCAGUUGGCCUCACCUCUUUCUAAAACUUCCACUUUUUUCACUCUCACCUUCAACAAUAGGUUCUUUUUUAUUUUAUAGAAAAUUUGUUAGAAUUAGGUUUAUAUAUUUUCUUGAAUUAACAGAAUAAUUUAAUUUAACAUCACUCUAGUGUGACUAAAAGCCUCUAAUCCUUUACUGUUUUUUGUUUAUGGGCAUAUUUGUUUUUACAGCUAUAAUAAUUAUUUCAUUUUGUGUGGUUUCUCAAAAACACAUGUUUCUUAUAUCAAAGAGUCUCUAUGCUAGAGUCCUUCAGAUUUGGUGCUAAUAACAUUAAGAAUUUAAGACAGGUCUUGAGAUGUUAGAGGAAAGCCAGUCUAAGAACACAGAAAUUAAUUGUUAAUUUAUUUUGAGUUGACAUUUAAGUUGAGGUGUGGAGGUGGAGGAGACAGUUGGAUAAAUGAGUUUGGAAGUAAGGAGAAAGAUCUGGGAAUAGAUACAAUUUUGGAUUUUAUAGUUGCGUUUUGAUAGCAAUUGUUGUUACUGCCAAAAUAAUUCAUCAGUGAGCUCCCUGACAGCUCCCUAACCUUUCUUUUUAAAGAAACAGGAUUGGCAGGGUGUGGUGGCCCAUGUCUGUAAUCCCAGCAUUUUGGAAGGCAGAUCACCUGAGGUCGGGAGUUCAAGACCAGCCUGACCAGCAUGGAGAAACCCCAUCUCUACUAAAAAUACAAAAUUAGCUGGGUGUGGUGGUGUGUGACUGUAAUCUCAGCUACUUGGGAGGCUGAGGCAGGAGAAUAACUUGAACCCGGGAGACAGAGGUUGCAGUGAGCUGAGAUCCCACCAUUGCACUCCAGCCUGGGUAACAAGAGUCAAACUCCAUCUCAAAAAAAACAAAAAAAAACCAGGGUCUUGUUAUGUUGUCUGGGCUGGACUAGAACUCCUGUGCUCAAGUUAUCCUCCUGCCUCAGUCUCCUAAGUAGCUGGGGCUACAGGCACAUGCCAGCAUGUCCAGCUUUGAGCCACUCCCACCCAUCAUGUUGUAAAAAAUUUAAAUGUUACAGAGGUGUGAGGGAGAUGUGUAUAUAAACAGCACAGUAAAUUGCUUUAAUCUUUUUUUUAGAGUUAUGUUUGGAUGUGGCUUCAGAGCAGGGAUUAAUCAAUUUAUUUAUACUUUUUUCUUUUCUUUUUUUUUUUUUGAGGUGGAUUCUCACUCUGUCACCCAGGUUGCAGUGCAGUGGCAAAAUCUCAGCUCACUUCAGCCUCUGCCUCCUGGAUUCAAGUGAUUCUCUUGCCUCAGCCUCCUGAGUAGCUGGGACUACAGGUACCUGCCACCAUACCUGGCUGACUUUUUUUUUGUUUUUUGUAUUUUUGGUAGAGACAGGCUUUCACCAUGUUGACCAGGCUGGUCUCGAACUCCUGACUCAUGUGAUCCACCUGUCUCGGCCUCCCAAAGUGCUGGGAUUACAGGUAUGAGUCACUGCGCCUGGCUGUUUUAUUUUACAUUUUUAAAUUACAAUUUUUAUACCUAUUCAGAAGUAGAGAAAAUAGUACAAUGACCGCUAAAAUACCCAUUCCUCAAUUUCUGUGAUCUUUAAGGUUGUCCCACAUUUUGUUCUUCUGUUCUUUUACCUCUCUUUGCAGGAAUAUUGUAAAGCAAAUCAGUCAUCACAUCAUUUUAUCUGUUCAGUGUGCAUCCCCGAACAGCAUUUAUGUAUUCCUACACAACCACUAUCUCAUCACAUCUGACAAAAUGAACAAUGAUUUUUUUGGUAUCAGCUCAUAUGCAGCCCUUAGCUGAGUUUCCUCACUCUUUUCUUUCUUUUUUUUUUUUUUUUUGAGACAGAGUCUUGCACUGUCGCCCAAGCUGCAGUGCAAUGGUCUAAUCUCGGCUCACUGCAGCCUCUGCCCCCUGUGCUCCAACAAUUCUCCUGCCUCAGCCUCCUGAGGAGCUGGGAUUACAGGCGCAUGCCACCACACCCGGCUAAUUUUUGUAUUUUUAGUAGAGACGGGGUUUCGCCAUAUUGGCCAGGCUGGUCUUGAACUCCUGACCUCAGGUGAUCCUCCCACCUUGGCCUCCCAGAGUGCUGGGAUUACAGGUGUGAGCCACUGUACCUAGCCAAGUUUCCUCACUCUUACCUGAACAGUAUCUCAUUUUCUCAUUAUCUGAAAAAUUUUGCUUUAAAUCUGGAUCCAAACAAUCUUCAUGUGCUAACUUUGGUUGUUAUGCCUCUUGUAAUCUAAACAGGCCUCUGCUUACUUUUUAAAUUUCCCAUUCCAUUAAUUCUUUGUGCAAAGUUUUUUAUUUUUAUUUUUUUUUUAAUAGCAUGCUCACAAGGUUGAAGGGGUAGUAAAGAAGAUCUUGUUGUUUCCGUGUAGAUGAAAGUUUAGCCUGAAAUGUGCCAGUUUGCAGCAACCAAAGGAGGAGGGUUAUUACGGUCUUGAGCAGUUAGUAGCAAAGGGCUGCUUCCAAAUAGUAUUUGCAGGCCAGGUGCAGUGGCUCACACCUAUAAUCCCAGCACUUUGGGAGCCUGAGGUGGGUUGAUCACCUGAGGUAAGGAGUUCGAGACCAGCCUGGCCAACAUGGUGAAACCCCAUCUCUACUAAAAAUACAAAAAAUUAGCCAGGCAUGGUGGCUGGCACCUGUAAUCCCAGCUACUCGGGAGGCUGAAGCAGGAGAAUCACUUGAAGCUGGGAGGCAGAGGCUGCUAUGAACUGAGAUCACAGCACUGCACUCCAGCCUGGGCAACAGAGUGAAACUCUGCAACAACAACAGCAACAACAACAGUAAAAAAUCCCCAAAAAGACCAUGAAGGCCUGAGAGUAAUGAAAAUCUUCCUGAAAUUGAGGUCACUGUGGAAGAUGGGACCGUCUAGUUGCAGAAAAACAAGCUCAGGACUCCCACUGAUUUUACAUUAUGCCUCAGCUGAGAUGUCUCACCUCACUCUCUAUGAUGCAACGAGAAGCCCCUUGGGAGCGUUUCAGUCCCACUCUAUACUCCUGUCAUUGUGCUCAUCACAGUCUGAAACAGGACCUUGCUGUGUCACUCAGGCUGGAGUUCAGUGGUCCUAUCACGGCUCAUUGUAGCCUCAAACUCCCAGGCUCAAGCGAUCCUACCACUUCAACCUUCCCAGUAGCUGGGACUACAGAUGGAGUGUAGCUCUUAUUGCCCAGGCUGAAGUGCAAUGGCACGAUCUUGGCUCACCGCAACAUCCGCCUGCCGGGUUCAAGCGAUUUUCCUGCCUCAGCCUCCCAAGUAGCUGGGAUUAACAGCUGGAUCUACCAUGAAAGACUUCAGAGUCCAGGAAGAGAGACUGACUGGGCAACAUGUUAUUCAGGAAGUGGUGAAUUAAGUGUGGCAGGAAUACUUUGUAGUGACAGUAAUUUGCUUGUAUGGAAUUUUGCCUGAGAGACCUCACUACAGUUUCUAAUCUUUUGAUGUUAUCAUCCGUCCCUGUCCUUGUCAAAUAGUUUGGAAUAGGAGAUGGGGUCUCACCCUGUCACCCAGGCUGGAGUACAGUGGUGCCAUCACAGCUCGCUGCAGCUUUGAACUCCUGGGCUAAGGAUCCUCCUGCCUCAGCUUCCUGAGUAGCUGGGACUGUAGACAAGGUCUUGCUCGGUUGUCCAGGCUGGAGUGUGGUGGUGCUAUCACAGCUGUCUGAAGUCUCAACCUCCCAGGCUCAAGCAAUCCUCCCACCUCAGCCUCCCAAGUUGCUGAGACUAUAGGUGCUUGCCUCUAUGCCCAACUCAUAUUUGGACUUUUUCUAUAUGUGGGUUCCAGAGGGAUGACUGCGAAACGUGAGUAUGCAUGGAUUUUGAUAUAUGCAGAGAUAGGUGGCUGGAACUAAUUCUCUCUGUAUACCAAGGGACAACUGUAUGUGGUUUUACAAUUAUGCUGUGGGACACAUAUUGUUCCAUAGUCUUUAAAAUAAUAAUUUGUAAUGACAAAUAAUUUUUAAUAGAGUGGAAUAAUAAUAUUGAUAAAAGUAGCAACUGGCCAAGUGUGGUGGCUCACACCAUUAAUCACAAUACUUUGGGAGGCUGAGGCAGGAGGAUGGUUGAGGUCAAGAGUUUGAGACAGGUCUCGGAAAGAAAGGGAGUCACCAUCUCUACAGAAAAAUACAUGAAUUAGCCUAGUGUGGUGAUGUGUUCCUGUAGUCACAGCUACUUGGGAGGCUGAGGUGGGAAGAUCACUUGAGCCCAGGGAAGCUGAGACUUCAGUGAGUCAUGAUCAGGCCUCUGCACUCCAGUCUGGGUGACAGAGUGACACCCUGUCUUAAAAAAGUAGCAGCUAACAUGAAGUGACCUUUUACCAGGUGCCUAUAAAUAUCAUAGUUUAAUUUCUUAUAACUGUUUAUUCCAUUUAACUACUCUGUCUUCAAUUACUCCUAGAUUUUCACUGUGUUUGUACAGUUGACCUUUUGUUUAGAUUGAAUUGUCUCCCCAAGGUAUUUCCAGAAGUAAGACUACUGUGAGUAAUGGUGAAUGGACAUUCUCAUUGCCCUUGAUGUAAACUGACAAGGUUUUGGGUGCCUCCCAGCUAUAAUCCCAGCCCUUUGGAGGCUAAGACAGGACGAUUGCUUGAGGCCAAGAGUUGGAGGAGGCAGUAAGGUGAGACCCUGUCUCUAUUAUUUUAAAAAAUUGCCAAGCUUUACCCUGGAAGGCUAUGUACUACUUAAACACCCCUCAUAGUAUAAGAAAGUGUCCAUUUCACUGCACCUCCGCCAGCACAGGGUAUUAUAAUUUAAUAAGUUUUUUUCAUUAUUUUAAGUAGAUAAAAGACCUCAUGUUACUUUGUCACAUUUUAACAUCUUUCCUUAGCUUAUUAGCUCUAUUUCUUUUCUGUCUGUAAAUGGUUGUUGUUGUUUUGUUCUUUGAGACAGGGUCUUGCUCUGUCACCCAGGCUUGAUGACUGUAAUGGCAUAAUCAUGACUCACUGCAGCCUUGACCUCCCAUGCUCAAACUACCCUCCCAUGUCAGCUUCCCAAGUAGCUGGGACUGCAAGUGUGCACCAGCACUCCCAGCUAAUUUUUUUCUUUUUUUGGUUAGAGACAGGGUCUUGCUGUGCUGUCCAGGCCGGUCUCUAGCUCCUGGCCUCAAGCAAUCCUCCUGCGUUGGCUUCUGAAAUUGCUGGAAUUUCAGGCAUGAGCCAUGAUGUCUGGCCUGUGCUAGUCUUUUAUUUUCCAGAGUUCUCUUUACUUUGUGCUAGCCAAUCUCUCAUUAUGCUGUUCCCGUUAUAAUGAAUAAUUCUCUGUAUUAAAUUUUACCACUUUAAACCUU